CCGACGCCGCUGCCGGAGCCGAUGCCGGUCCGGGUGGGGGAGGGGCGCGCAGGGGGAGUGUCCGCGGGAGGGGCUCGCUCCGCUGCAGCCGCGCUGGCCCGCCGGGAGCCCGGCGUCUGGCGCCCGUAGGUACAAUGGGAGACUGAUAAGGCAACAGGAAUUCGACCCUGAACUCCGCUCCUCACGCGGCCAUGGCUUUCUAUCUUGCUCUUUCCUCUGAUUAUCCAUUCUUCAGAAGGAGCUCGUCAACCAGUUCUUACUCUUUAAAAGGUGAAAAACUGAAUGGA